GUUUGCGUAUCAAUAUCCAAAUGCACCAAGGUGUGGCGCUCAGCGAGAGAGAUGUGGGGCUGUUGGAGAGAAGACCUUCAAGAAUCGAGGAGCCUCCCAAAGUGCUGGGAUUAUGAGCAUAAGCCAUGGUGCCAGGCUCCCCAGGGAAGUUAGGAAGUCUGGAGACGUUCACACAGCUGGAUUCCUCUGCUAUGACACAAACCAACGGUGUGCGGCAUCUACCUCAGCCAUUCCUCUUGGCCC
rnacentral:lncRNA from 1 species